GUGCACUGUUCGUAACCUGGUUCAGUCUUCAGUAUGAGCUUGGGUUCCAUUCCAGUGCAAUAGUGAACUCCAGUGAGGCAGGGGAGUGGUACCGUUUUGUGCUCACUCCCUGUUCACUCUCUGGGAACACCG